UUCCAGACUCCUACGGGAGGCAGCAGUGGGGGAUAUUGCACAAUGGGCGCAAGCCUGAUGCAGCGACGCCGCGUGAGCGAAGAAGUAUUUCGGUAUGUAAAGCUCUAUCAGCAGGGAAGAAAAUGACGGUACCUGACUAAGAAGCCCCGGCUAACUACGUGCCAGCAGCCGCGGUAAUACGUAGGGGGCAAGCGUUAUCCGGAUUUACUGGGUGUAAAGGGAGCGUAGACGGCAUGGCAAGUCAGAUGUGAAAGCCCGGGGCUCAACCCCGGGACUGCAUUUGAAACUGUCAGGCUGGAGUGCAGGAGAGGUAAGUGGAAUUCCUAGUGUAGCGGUGAAAUGCGUAGAUAUUAGGAGGAACACCAGUGGCGAAGGCGGCUUACUGGACUGUAACUGACGUUGAGGCUCGAAAGCGUGGGGAGCAAACAGGAUUAGAUACCCGUGUA
rnacentral:rRNA from 1 species